GAUGAACGCUGGCGGCGUGCCUAAUACAUGCAAGUCGAGCGAACGGACGAGAAGCUUGCUUCUCUGAUGUUAGCGGCGGACGGGUGAGUAACACGUGGAUAACCUACCUAUAAGACUGGGAUAACUUCGGGAAACCGGAGCUAAUACCGGAUAAUAUUUUGAACCGCAUGGUUCAAAAGUGAAAGACGGUCUUGCUGUCACUUAUAGAUGGAUCCGCGCUGCAUUAGCUAGUUGGUAAGGUAACGGCUUACCAAGGCAACGAUGCAUAGCCGACCUGAGAGGGUGAUCGGCCACACUGGAACUGAGACACGGUCCAGACUCCUACGGGAGGCAGCAGUAGGGAAUCUUCCGCAAUGGGCGAAAGCCUGACGGAGCAACGCCGCGUGAGUGAUGAAGGUCUUCGGAUCGUAAAACUCUGUUAUUAGGGAAGAACAUAUGUGUAAGUAACUGUGCACAUCUUGACGGUACCUAAUCAGAAAGCCACGGCUAACUACGUGCCAGCAGCCGCGGUAAUACGUAGGUGGCAAGCGUUAUCCGGAAUUAUUGGGCGUAAAGCGCGCGUAGGCGGUUUUUUAAGUCUGAUGUGAAAGCCCACGGCUCAACCGUGGAGGGUCAUUGGAAACUGGAAAACUUGAGUGCAGAAGAGGAAAGUGGAAUUCCAUGUGUAGCGGUGAAAUGCGCAGAGAUAUGGAGGAACACCAGUGGCGAAGGCGACUUUCUGGUCUGUAACUGACGCUGAUGUGCGAAAGCGUGGGGAUCAAACAGGAUUAGAUACCCUGGUAGUCCACGCCGUAAACGAUGAGUGCUAAGUGUUAGGGGGUUUCCGCCCCUUAGUGCUGCAGCUAACGCAUUAAGCACUCCGCCUGGGGAGUACGACCGCAAGGUUGAAACUCAAAGGAAUUGACGGGGACCCGCACAAGCGGUGGAGCAUGUGGUUUAAUUCGAAGCAACGCGAAGAACCUUACCAAAUCUUGACAUCCUUUGACAACUCUAGAGAUAGAGCCUUCCCCUUCGGGGGACAAAGUGACAGGUGGUGCAUGGUUGUCGUCAGCUCGUGUCGCGAGAUGUUGGGUUAAGUCCCGCAACGAGCGCAACCCUUAAGCUUAGUUGCCAUCAUUAAGUUGGGCACUCUAAGUUGACUGCCGGUGACAAACCGGAGGAAGGUGGGGAUGACGUCAAAUCAUCAUGCCCCUUAUGAUUUGGGCUACACACGUGCUACAAUGGACAAUACAAAGGGCAGCGAAACCGCGAGGUCAAGCAAAUCCCAUAAAGUUGUUCUCAGUUCGGAUUGUAGUCUGCAACUCGACUACAUGAAGCUGGAAUCGCUAGUAAUCGUAGAUCAGCAUGCUACGGUGAAUACGUUCCCGGGUCU
rnacentral:rRNA from 1 species